CGUGUGUUGCCCGUACGGUCACGCAGAUCGGAAUAAAGUAAACGAUGGUCGAACUAUGACUCGACAUUCGUAAGAGAUCGUAUAAAUCGUGUACGGUCGGCCGCGCGACUCGAUAUCAACUAACCAGGACUGCGUUUCCUCUCCGCGUAUCCUGGCUAACGCGAUAUAUAUUCUCUCUCGUCGCCUAUCAGAGACUGCCAGUGAUCUGUACGAGCGUGGCUAAACCGUAAACAAACGUGACUGAUGCUUUGUUACUCGUGCUGUGAAUGAUUGAAAUAAUGAACACUGCGCUCAGCGGGAAUCGGGGGUGGGCAAAGAACAAUAGUCUUUACCUUAAACUUGUCGAUCAGUAUCUGGUUGAUGAGCUCGGACUGGGGCCGUGAUUUGUCGGCGACUCGCCUACGAAGGGCUGGAGGGCUGUCGGUCUCGUCUUGGACGUCCGUGUCGUGGGACUCAGAGCUAUCACCGCCCCCCAUCAUUCCACCACCACUGCCCCCAGUCAAUGCUCCACCAGAUACCAUCUAUAUCGUUUAUAAUUCAUUCCAUUAUUUCAUACUUUUGUCGUGGCUUCCUUCGAUCGGAACAACGCUUCGUGAAAAAGAAGAUUCACGGGAUAUAACCGAGUAUCGAGAUUACAAGGUGAACCGGAAGCGCGGGGAUGGCCCCGUGAGACUAAAGGGGAUGUCACGAGAGAUUUUCUAUUCACGUCGUAAUUAGUGCAACGACCGGAUGAAUGUCCGUCCAGGUACAAAGUCGAUGGAACCGAGACGGGUCAUUCGAAAUAACGUCUUUAUUCGUGGCUCGGCAAACAACCCCGGCCGCCGAGACACGCUCAGAGCGGGAUCAAGAGGUCACGAUGGAAAGUCAGAAAGCAGGAGGAAGCACUUCAAACGAACCUGGACGCGAUCAACCCGGGAACCUUUGAUCUAUUCCCCGCUCUUCGAUCGACUAUAUUUUUUCCAACUAUUUUUAGCUCCCGUCGCUGCCGUUUCCGUCGACGUUUUCAAUAAUCCGUCAAAGGGGGACCAGGUUUUUCGACGACAUCAUU